GCCUGGGUAGCUCAGUCGGUUGAGCGUCUGACUUUGGCUCAGGUCAUGAUCUCACAGUUUGUGGGUUCGAGGCCCAUGUCAGGCU
rfam:Felis catus isolate Cinnamon breed Abyssinian chromosome B4, whole genome shotgun sequence.